rnacentral:misc_RNA from 1 species
AAGUCGUAACAAGGUUUCCGUAGGUGAACCUGCGGAAGGAUCAUUAACGAGUUUUGAAGUGGGCUUGAUGCUGGCUAUAUAGGUCGCGCGCCUAGUACAAUGAUGACCUUGUCGUAGAUAGCAGAGACAUAGGAGACAUACAGUGAACGUGUCGAGACUACCAGUCAGGUCAUGCGCGAGUUAUAAUGGCAUGUGCUCAGCCUCGCUCCGAUCUACUUAACCCCUGUGCACUAUACGGAGUGUCGCAAGUUGAGACUUGAAUUAGAGGCCUUAGUCGCAUUUGUAAUGUGGCUGGGUGUCUAUCUAAGUCGGUCAAGGCUUGUCCUCUGGUCUAUAUACAAACUCUUAUAAUGUCUUGUAGAAUGUGUCAGCCUCUUGUUAGGCGAAACUUAAAUACAACUUUCAACAACGGAUCUCUUGGCUCUC